UGGCGGACGGGUGAGUAAUGUCUGGGAAACUGCCUGAUGGAGGGGGGUAACUACUGGAAACGGUAGCUAAUACCGCAUAACGUCGCAAGACCAAAGAGGGGGACCUUCGGGCCUCUUGCCAUCGGAUGUGCCCAGAUGGGAUUAGCUAGUAGGUGGGGUAACGGCUCACCUAGGCGACGAUCCCUAGCUGGUCUGAAAGGAUGACCAGCCACACUGGAACUGAGACACGGUCCAG
rnacentral:rRNA from 1 species